CCUACGGGAGGCAGCAGUGGGGAAUUUUCCGCAAUGGGCGAAAGCCUGACGGAGCAACGCCGCGUGGGGGAUGAAGGUCUUCGGAUUGUAAACCCCUGUCAUGUGGAAUGAAAUAUAAUUGCUUUAAUAAAGCGGUUAUUUGACAGUACCACAAGAGGAAGCCACGGCUAACUCCGUGCCAGCAGCCGCGGUAAUACGGAGGUGGCAAGCGUUGUUCGGAAUUACUGGGCGUAAAGAGCGCGUAGGCGGUAAAGCAAGUCAGAUGUGAAAUCCCCUGGCUCAACCAGGGAAUUGCGUUUGAUACUGCUUUACUUGAGUACAAAAGAGGAGAAUGGAAUUCCCGGUGUAGCGGUGAAAUGCGUAGAUAUCGGGAGGGACACCAGUGGCGAAGGCGGCCUUCUGGUCUGCCCCUGACACUCAGGCGCGAAAGCGUGGGGAGCAAACAGGAUUAGAUACCCCAGUAGU
rnacentral:rRNA from 1 species